UGAGAAGUUUGGAACAAGUAAA
rnacentral:miRNA from 1 species